ACUUGCCAUGGGUCAUCAUGGAAGAUGAUGAUUUAUCUCUUGAGCUUAAAAAGGGUACUCCAUGUGUGGAAGAGUUCACCCCAAAAAAUUGUGAAAUGUUAUGCAACAAUACGAAGCUUGAUCUUGCUACUGUCGAGACCGAUGUUGAUGAGAAAGUCGAAGAUAAGGUAUGUUCUUAUGUGGAUCAACUUCUUGCAGCUAUGCGAGCCAAAGAUUCUACCAUGCACGUAUGUCGCCGCCGCGAGGGUCAUGUGCUAGCAGAUAUAAAUCUAUACAAAAGGUGUACUUUUGGAGUCUUCCAAGUUGUGCUGGGAACUAGGCAUACAGGAAAAGGAAGGAGCCUGAUGUAGAGAAGCAAAAGGAACCAAUUCUAGAGCAUGUCACAGUGUUACUUGCCAGUCAUUAUCACCUAAAAUUUACAACUCGCGAUGUGUUUCUUCCCUUUGAUUUAUUUGUAAGCAGGAAGCAUCUUUGUUGAAUACAACAAAUCAAGCUUGUGGGCUUUAUAAUGAAGCUGAGGUUUAGGAAAAGAUACAAUUUCUUAUUUGAUGAAGACUUUCCUGCUGAAAAAUAAAGACUCCAAAAAAUGAUUAAGAAAUCUAAGGAC
rnacentral:misc_RNA from 1 species